rnacentral:rRNA from 1 species
AGAACGAACGCUGGCGGCAUGCCUAAUACAUGCAAGUCGAACGAACACUUCGGUGUUAGUGGCGCACGGGUGCGUGACGCGUGGGAAUCUGCCCUUGGGUUCGGAAUAACAGUUGGAAACGACUGCUAAUACCGGAUGAUAUCGAAAGAUCAAAGAUUUAUCGCCCAGGGAUGAGCCCGCGUAGGAUUAGCUAGUUGGUGAGGUAAAGGCUCACCAAGGCGACGAUCCUUAGCUGGUCUGAGAGGAUGAUCAGCCACACUGGGACUGAGACACGGCCCAGACUCCUACGGGAGGCAGCAGUAGGGAAUAUGGACAAUGGGCGCAAGCCUGAUCAGCAAUGCCGCGUGAGUGAUGAAGGCCUUAGGGUUGAAAGUCCUCUUUACCCGAGAUGAUAAUGACAGUAUCGGAGAAUAAGGCCCCGACUAACUCCGUGCCAGCAGCCGAGGUAAU